UACGUAGGGUGCAAGCGUUGUCCGGAAUUAUUGGGCGUAAAGAGCUCGUAGGCGGUCUGUUGCGUCGGCUGUGAAAACCCGGGGCUCAACUCCGGGCCUGCAGCCGAUACGGGCAGACUAGAGUUCGGCAGGGGAGACUGGAAUUCCUGGUGUAGCGGUGAAAUGCGCAGAUAUCAGGAGGAACACCGGUGGCGAAGGCGGUUCUCUGGGCCUGUACUGACGCUGAGGAGCGAAAGCGUGGGGAGCGAACAGG
rnacentral:rRNA from 1 species